UACGUAGGGGGCAAGCGUUGUCCGGAAUCAUUGGGCGUAAAGAGCGUGUAGGCGGUCCGAUAAGUCCGCUCUGAAAGCCCGGGGCUCAACCCCGGGAGGCGGGCGGAUACUGUCGGGCUAGAGUCCGGAAGAGGCAAGUGGAAUUCCUGGUGUAGCGGUGAAAUGCGCAGAUAUCAGGAGGAACACCGAUGGCGAAGGCAGCUUGCAGGGACGGUACUGACGCUGAGACGCGAAAGCGUGGGGAGCAAACAGG
rnacentral:rRNA from 1 species